rnacentral:rRNA from 1 species
AUGAUCCGGAGGAGAACGACUCGUGCGACCUCAAGUGCCAACACCACCAAGUUCCGGCGAGGAAAAAGCAGUGCGUCGACGAGUGCCACAGCCGGGAGCAUCACCACCCCAGCAGAGCGUCUUGCGAGAACAAGUGUAGCCACUGGCAAGACCCGACGAGGAAGGACCAGUGCGUGCAACAGUGCAUGCGCCGCGGCCUCAGCCUCGCUGUGGGCGGCGGCAACGACGUCGACGAGCACCGCCACGCCCAAGAGGAGGAGGUCGCCGGGCGUCCGUGCGACAGGGAGUGCCAACUGUCUUGCCAAAGGAAGUGCCAGGGCUGGAAAGAUCGGACCAAGCACCAACAGUGCGUGCGACAAUGCGUUCGCGGCAGCAACAUCGUCGACGACGAGCACCUCCGCGGCUGGGAAGCGGUGGCCGGCGCCAUCAUCGAGGCGGUGUGAGUGUCAUGUCACGCACCUAAUAAUAAUAAUAAUAAUGUAA